rnacentral:ncRNA from 15 species
AUGAGACUAGUAGGAGAGAGCUGGGAAAACCAGACGCCGAAGGAGAAAAUCCCUUGAAUCGCCUUUCAAGGGGGGAAACUCUCAGGCAAAGGUACUACUAGAUGACG